GCCAAGCCUAGCCCGACGGGGCGAAAACCGGGGAACCCUUGCCCGGCUGGCUUGGUGUCUCUCUCAAGGG
rfam:Gammaproteobacteria bacterium RIFCSPLOWO2_12_47_11 rifcsplowo2_12_sub10_scaffold_300, whole genome shotgun sequence.